GAUGAACGCUGGCGGCGUGCCUAAUACAUGCAAGUCGAGCGAACGGACGAGAAGCUUGCUUCUCUGAUGUUAGCGGCGGACGGGUGAGUAACACGUGGAUAACCUACCUAUAAGACUGGGAUAACUUCGGGAAACCGGAGCUAAUACCGGAUAAUAUUUUGAACCGCAUGGUUCAAAAGUGAAAGACGGUCUUGCUGUCACUUAUAGAUGGAUCCGCGCUGCAUUAGCUAGUUGGUAAGGUAACGGCUUACCAAGGCAACGAUGCAUAGCCGACCGGAGAGGGGGAUCGGCCACCCUGGAACUGAGACACGGUCCAGACUCCUACGAGAGGCAGCAGUAGGGAAUCUUCCGCAAAGGGCGAAAGCCUGACGGAGCAACGCCGCGUGAGUGAUGAAGGUCUUCGGAUCGUAAAACUCUGUUAUUAGGGAAGAACAUAUGUGUAAGUAACUGUGCACAUCUUGACGGUACCUAAUCAGAAAGCCACGGCUAACUACGUG
rnacentral:rRNA from 1 species